GACGAACGCUGGCGGCGUGCUUAACACAUGCAAGUCGAACGAUGAAGCCUAGCUUGCUAGGUGGAUUAGUGGCGAACGGGUGAGUAAUACGUGAGUAACCUACCUUUAACUCUGGGAUAAGCCCGGGAAACUGGGUCUAAUACCGGAUACGACCAAUCUCCGCAUGGGGUGUUGGUGGAAAGCGUUAUGUAGUGGUUAUAGAUGGGCUCACGGCCUAUCAGCUUGUUGGUGAGGUAACGGCUCACCAAGGCGACGACGGGUAGCCGGCCUGAGAGGGUGACCGGCCACACUGGGACUGAGACAAGGCCCAGACUCCUACGGGAGGCAGCAGUGGGGAAUAUUGCACAAUGGGCGCAAGCCUGAUGCAGCGACGCCGCGGGAGGGAUGACGGCCUUCGGGUUGUAAACCUCUGUUAGCAGGGAAGAAGAGAGAUUGACGGUACCUGCAGAGAAAGCGCCGGCUAACUACGUG
rnacentral:rRNA from 1 species